ACGGGACCCGCACAAGCAGCGGAGCGUGUGGUUUAAUUCGAUGCUACACGAAGAACCUUACCAGGGUUUGACAUGCAAGUGGUAGGAAUCUGAAAAGGGACCGACCCUUCGGGGAGCUUGCACAGGUGCUGCAUGGCUGUCGUCAGCUCGUGUCGUGAGAUGUUCGGUUAAGUCCGCUAACGAGCGCAACCCUCGUCGUAUGUUAUAUGUGUCAUACGAGACUGCCGGUAAAAGCCGGAGGAAGGUGAGGAUGAUGUCAAGUCAGCAUGACCUUUAUAUCCAGGGCUACACACACGCUACAAUGGUCUGUACAAUGGGUAGCCAAGCCGCGAGGCGGAGCCAAUCCUGAAAGCAGGCCUCAGUUCAGAUUGCAGUCUGCAACUCGACUGCAUGAAGCCGGAGUUGCUAGUAACCGCAGGUCAGCAAUACUGCGGUGAAUACGUUCCCGGGUCUU
rnacentral:rRNA from 1 species